CUGAUGCAGCAACGCCGCGUGCGGGAUGACGGCCUUCGGGUUGUAAACCGCUUUUAGUAGGGAAGAAGGGCUUCGGCUUGACGGUACCUGCAGAAAAAGGACCGGCUAACUACGUGCCAGCAGCCGCGGUAAUACGUAGGGUCCGAGCGUUGUCCGGAAUUAUUGGGCGUAAAGAGCUCGUAGGCGGUUUGUCGCGUCUGCUGUGAAAUCUGGAGGCUCAACCUCCAGCCUGCAGUGGGUACGGGCAGACUAGAGUGCGGUAGGGGAGAAUGGAAUUCCUGGUGUAGCGGUGGAAUGCGCAGAUAUCAGGAGGAACACCGAUGGCGAAGGCAGUUCUCUGGGCCGUAACUGACGCUGAGGAGCGAAAGCGUGGGGAGCGAACAGGAUUAGAUACCCUGGUAGUCCACGCCGUAAACGUUGGGCGCUAGAUGUGGGGACCUUUCCACGGUUUCCGUGUCGUAGCUAACGCAUUAAGCGCCCCGCCUGGGGAGUACGGCCGCAAGGCUAAAACUCAAAGGAAUUGACGGGGGCCCGCACAAGCGGCGGAGCAUGCGGAUUAAUUCGAUGCAACGCGAAGAACCUUACCAAGGCUUGACAUAACCGAGAACGCCCUAGAAAUAGGGAACUCUUUGG
rnacentral:rRNA from 1 species